UACAGAGGGUGCGAGCGUUGUCCGGAAUCACUGGGCGUAAAGGGCGCGUAGGCGGUGCGAUAAGCGUGCGGUGAAAGCCCGGGGCUCAACCCCGGGUCGGCCGUGCGGACUGUCGGACUGGAGCACUGUAGAGGCAGGUGGUAUUCCGGGUGUAGCGGUGGAAUGCGUAGAGAUCCGGAAGAACACCGGUGGCGAAGGCGGCCUGCUGGGCAGUUGCUGACGCUGAGGCGCGACAGCGUGGGGAGCAAACAGG
rnacentral:rRNA from 1 species